rnacentral:rRNA from 1 species
GAUGAACGCUGGCGGCGUGCUUAACACAUGCAAGUCGAACGGAAAGGCCGAAGCUUGCUUCGGUACUCGAGUGGCGAACGGGUGAGUAACACGUGGGUGAUCUGCCCUGUACUUCGGGAUAAGCUUGGGAAACUGGGUCUAAUACCGGAUAUGACGAUCUCUUGGAUGGGGUUGUGGAAAGCUUUUGCGGUAUGGGAUGAGCUCGCGGCCUAUCAGCUUGUUGGUGGGGUAAUGGCCUACCAAGGCGUCGACGGGUAGCCGGCCUGAGAGGGUGUACGGCCACAUUGGGACGGAGAUACGGCCCAGACUCCUACGGGAGGCAGCAGUGGGGAAUAUUGCACAAUGGGCGCAAGCCUGAUGCAGCGACGCCGCGUGGGGGAUGACGGCCUUCGGGUUGUAAACUCCCUUCGCAAUCGACGAAGCCUUUUGGUGACGGUAGGUUGAGAAGAAGCACCGGCUAACUACGUG